CUCAUCUCAUCAGUCUCUCUCUGUUUCGAAUUAAAUCUGUGAUUAGAACUGUAAGAAUGAAGAUGGCAGAAGAGCGAGUUUCACCAGUGAUAUCUCAAUGGAUCAGGAUGAUGACGAUGAGAAAGAAACCAAAUACCGCUUGGAUCCAAAGUACGCCAAUGUAAAAACACCAGAACGACAUGUGCGGACACGCCUUUAUUUCACAUCGAUGAGGAUUAUUAUGUGCUGUAAACACUCCAUGCAGUGACUCCAACAAGCCACGCAUGGGAAGCUUUCUGUACAUCUUCCCGGUUCAAGUAAGUAACCGUUUCAUCUUCUACACAGACAUCUAUGUUCUUUGUAUCUUGCUGUAAAUGAAGAUUGAUAUAGAUGGAGCCAAGACUGAUUAACACAGUAAAAGAAGAGGAAAACAAGAGUUUCCUAAAGAUAAAGAAACAAACAAGUAUAGGA